rnacentral:rRNA from 1 species
AGGUAAGCUACUAAGAGCGAAUGGUGGAUGCCUUGACUGGUAAAGGCGAUGAAGGACGUACUAGACUGCGAUAAGCUACGGGGAGCUGUCAAGAAGCUUUGAUCCGUAGAUUUCCGAAUGGGGCAACCCAAUGUAUAGAGAUAUACAUUACCUAUAUAGGAGCGAACGAGGGGAAUUGAAACAUCUUAGUACCCUCAGGAAAAGAAAUCAAUAGAGAUUGCGUCAGUAGCGGCGAGCGAAAGCGCAAGAGGGCAAACCCAGUGCUUGCACUGGGGGUUGUAGGACUGCAAUGUGCAAGAGGUAAGUUUAGCAGAACAUUCUGGAAAGUAUAACCAUAGAGGGUGAUAGUCCCGUAUGCGAAAAACAAACCUUAGCUAGCAGUAUCCUGAGUAGGGCGGGACACGAGGAAUCCUGUCUGAAUCCGGGUCGACCACGAUCCAACCCUAAAUACUAAUACCAGAUCGAUAGUGCACAAGUACCGUGAGGGAAAGGUGAAAAGAACUGAGGUGAUCAGAGUGAAAUAGAACCUGAAACCAUUUGCUUACAAUCAUUCAGAGCCCUAUGUAGGAAUACAGGGUGAUGGACUGCCUUUUGCAUAAUGAGCCUGCGAGUUGUGGUGUCUGGCAAGGUUAAGCAAACGCGAAGCCGUAGCGAAAGCGAGUCUGAAUAGGGCGCUUAGUCAGAUGCUGCAGACCCGAAACGAAGUGAUCUAUCCAUGAGCAAGUUGAAGCUAGUGUAAGAACUAGUGGAGGACUGAACCCAUAGGCGUUGAAAAGCCCCGGGAUGACUUGUGGAUAGGGGUGAAAGGCCAAUCAAACUUCGUGAUAGCUGGUUCUCUCCGAAAUAUAUUUAGGUAUAGCGUUGUGUCGUAAUAUAAGGGGGUAGAGCACUGAAUGGGCUAGGGCAUACACCAAUGUACCAAACCCUAUCAAACUCCGAAUACCUUAUAUGUAAUCACAGCAGUCAGGCGGCGAGUGAUAAAAUCCGUCGUCAAGAGGGAAACAACCCAGACUACCAGCUAAGGUCCCUAAAUCUUACUUAAGUGGAAAACGAUGUGAAGUUACUUAAACAACCAGGAGGUUGGCUUAGAAGCAGCCAUCCUUUAAAGAAAGCGUAAUAGCUCACUGGUCUAGUGAUUUUGCGCGGAAAAUAUAACGGGGCUAAAGUAAGUACCGAAGCUGUAGACUUAGUUUACUAAGUGGUAGGAGAGCGUUCUAUUUGCGUCGAAGGUAUACCGGUAAGGAGUGCUGGAGCGAAUAGAAGUGAGCAUGCAGGCAUGAGUAGCGAUAAUUAAUGUGAGAAUCAUUAACGCCGUAAACCCAAGGUUUCCUACGCGAUGCUCGUCAUCGUAGGGUUAGUCGGGUCCUAAGUCGAGUCCGAAAGGGGUAGACGAUGGCAAAUUGGUUAAUAUUCCAAUACCAACAUUAGUGUGCGAUGGAAGGACGCUUAGGGCUAAGGGGGCUAGCGGAUGGAAGUGCUAGUCUAAGGUCGUAGGAGGUUGUACAGGCAAAUCCGUAUAACAAUACUCCGAGAACUGAAAGGCUUUUUGAAGUCUUCGGAUGGAUAGAAGAACCCCUGAUGCCGUCGAGCCAAGAAAAGUUUCUAAGUUUAGCUAAUGUUGCCCGUACCGUAAACCGACACAGGUGGGUGGGAUGAGUAUUCUAAGGCGCGUGGAAGAACUCUCUUUAAGGAACUCUGCAAAAUAGCACCGUAUCUUCGGUAUAAGGUGUGGUUAGCUUCGUACUAGGAUUUACUCCGAAAGCGAAGAAACUUACAACAAA